rnacentral:misc_RNA from 1 species
GCUUGUAAGUGAUGCCAUCAACAGUACCUUGCAAUUCAAGUGUAUAUAUCGCAAGCCGAAUGAAUGCAAGGAACGCCAUAAAGUACUUAUGGACAGAACUACUGGUGAUGGCGCUGACAGUGCUGAAGAUUCAGGAUCUUCUCAACCAUAUCCUUCAACAUUACCGGGCAUUCCGAAGGGUAGUGCCAGACAGCUGUUUCAGCGUUUACAGGGACCAAUGGAAGAGGACACACUCAAAUCUCAUUUUGAGAAGAUCAUCUUGAUUGGAAAAAAAUAUCUUUUACGGAAGACUCAGGGUGAAAACUAUGAUCUAAAACAAAUUCAGCAACCACACGAUUCUCAUAUGCAUGCGCUUUCCCAACUUUGUCCGAGUAAUCUGAAUGGAGGAUCUUUUCUUACGCCUCUGGAUCUGUGUGAGGAACCUCCACGGGCUCCAUCUAGUCCAGACUUUCUUCCUGCUGGAUUCGAAGGUUCAUACUCAGGUGGAUUAUCUAUGUCGAGUCCGGGUGGAGGAUCGGUGCUUCCUGCAUCUGGUGCAAAUUCUGGAGUGCAAGCACCCACCAAUAUGAUUCUCGGCAGUAAUUUUCCUUCAUCAACAAGUCCACUAAAUGCAUCUGUCAGAUAUGCUGUUCCGAGAGCUGUAUCAUUUCCAGUUGAUGAGCAGCAGAGAUCCCAGCAAU